UGGGGAAUCUUCCGCAAUGGACGAAAGUCUGACGGAGCAACGCCGCGUGAGUGAAGAAGGUUUUCGGAUCGUAAAACUCUGUCUUUUGGGGCGAACGUGAGUAUGGUGAACAAUCAUAGUCAGUGACGGUACCAAAGGAGGAAGCCACGGCUAACUACGUGCCAGCAGCCGCGGUAAUACGUAGGUGGCAAGCGUUGUCCGGAAUUACUGGGCGUAAAGAGCGCGUAGGCGGGAUAGUCAGUCUGUUGUAAAAGUGCGGGGCUCAACCCCGUGAUCGCAAUGGAAACAGCUAUUCUUGAGUGCAGGAGAGGAAAGUGGAAUUCCCAGUGUAGCGGUGAAAUGCGUAGAUAUUGGGAGGAACACCAGUGGCGAAGGCGACUUUCUGGACUGUGUCUGACGCUGAGGCGCGAAAGCCAGGGGAGCGAACGGGAUUAGAUACCCCGGUAGUCCUGGCCGUAAACGAUGGGUACUAGGUGUGGGAGGUAUCGACCCCUUCCGUGCCGGAGUUAACGCAAUAAGUACCCCGCCUGGGGAGUACGGUCGCAAGACUGAAACUCAAAUGAAUUGACGGGGUCAUAGCUGUUUCCUG
rnacentral:rRNA from 1 species